AUGCGCGGAGGUAACGGCGAUGGACACGAUGACGGGUCGUCUGGGUACAGGCACGACAGCUUCGGCGCUGUCCCGGCGUCCGAGGAGGCCAUCGCCGAGCUGGAGGAGGCAGCCGUCGAGGAGACGAGGGAGGCGGAGUGCGCUGUUUGCUGGGAGAGCUUCGAGGUAGGCGACAAGAUCAGGAAGAUGCCGUGCUCCCAUGGAUACCACGAGAGCUACAUCUUCAGGUGGCUCCGGAUCAGCCGCGCCUGCCCGCUCUGCCGCUUCCCGAUGUCCGCCGCCGCCGACCAUUAA
rnacentral:rRNA from 1 species